GCUUCCAUAGCGCAGCUGGCAGCGCAACUGAUUCGUAAUCAGUAGGUCGGGGGUUCAAAUCCCCCUGGGAGCU
rnacentral:tRNA from 1 species